rnacentral:tRNA from 1 species
GAAGUAUUAGUAAAACAAUUACAUAACCUUGUCAAGGUUAAAUUAUAGGUUUAAGCCUGUGUACUUCC